rnacentral:piRNA from 1 species
UCUCAGGCCACCUCACUGUCUUGCCCUGAUU